rnacentral:tRNA from 1 species
AAUAGUAUGCCUGAAUAAAGGAUUAUUAUGAUAUAAUAAAUUAUGUAAAUAAAUUACUACUAUUA